AUUAGUCAGUACGUUGCAAUUUCUUUAGAGACACAUCACUCCGAAAUUGCUCUCGCAUUUCGGCUCAAAAUUCUUAGUUAUUAUUAGAUUCACUAUUAUAUCAUGAUAGAUAAAAAGCUCUGCCUUAUUUGAAAUGGUAACUAGAAGAAUGCAGUACUUGUGUGUAGAAUAUUGGAGAUGAAACUAAUCGUAUCAAACUAAUAAGUGAUAAACACAAGGAUGAAAGGAACUUAUUACCACUCUGGGAGGCAAAAUGAGCAACAAAAAAAAUAUAAUACUAAAAAGAAAAAAAAAAACAACUGUUUGAAAAUUGAUGAAGAAACAAAAUCUAAAAAAAAAAAUUAAAAGACAAAACAAAAAAAAAAAAUGUAUACAAAAGUUCGUUCAUAAAAGCAGAAGACUGGAACAUUCCCGUUGGAAGUUUCACAUUUCUAGUUCAUUUUCCCCCGAAUGUCCGGGGGAGUUUUACGGUAAGUAAAGGCAUGCGUCUUACCGGAAAGCAGCCCAGACUUCGACGGAAGAUCUUAAAAAAAAAUAUAAAAAUGAGAAAAUCAAAAAACAUGACAUUCAUUGUAAUUUCGACAUAUUAUAUGCUGUAAGCAAGGCAAAGAACUUGAUUGAUAGAUAGAUAUUGUUAAUGAAUUGUUAAAAUAAACAGAAAUUGUUUAAAAA